ensembl:misc_RNA Metazoa_SRP Metazoan signal recognition particle RNA
GCUGGGCGUGGUGGCGCACACCUGUAAUCCCAGCUACUCGGGAGGCUGAGGCAGGAGAAUCACUUGAACCCAGGAGACAGAGGUUGCAGUGAGCUAAGAUCGUGCCGCUGCACUCCAGCCUGGGUGACAAAGUGAGACUCCAUCUCAA